GGGCGGGAGGGUGGGUAAAUUUAACGUGUUGAAUUGACCAGUAAACAAUUCGAAAUGACCAGGGAAUAUUUGUAUGAAAAUUUACCUGAAGUGAACAGGUAUUUCUAUUAACCAAUCAAAUGCGAUUAAAUAACGAACGAUAAAUUUUGUACAAACAGGUAACGAGUAAUGUCGAAAGGUAACGAGUAAUGUCGAAAGCAUCCGAGAUGGAAUUAAGUAUUUUUAAUUAAUUAAAAAUUUACCAAUUCCCUCCACUCCCAUUUCGAUGUAAUAAAACAAAACUCAACACAUAAGUAAUGAUAAUCAUAUUUUGGCAUAAAUAAAAAAAUUACAAUCAUACAUA
rnacentral:lncRNA from 1 species